CCUUGUACACACCGCCCGUCACACCAUGGGAGUUGGUUCUACCUUAAGACGGUGCGCUAACCGCAAGGAGGCAGCCGGCCACGGUAGGGUCAGCGACUGGGGUG
rnacentral:rRNA from 1 species